GAUGAACGCUGGCGGCGUGCCUAAUACAUGCAAGUCGAGCGAACGGACGAGAAGCUUGCUUCUCUGAUGUUAGCGGCGGACGGGUGAGUAACACGUGGAUAACCUACCUAUAAGACUGGGAUAACUUCGGGAAACCGGAGCUAAUACCGGAUAAUAUUUUGAACCGCAUGGUUCAAAAGUGAAAGACGGUCUUGCUGUCACUUAUAGAUGGAUCCGCGCUGCAUUAGCUAGUUGGUAAGGUAACGGCUUACCAAGGCAACGAUGCAUAGCCGACCUGAGAGGGUGAUCGGCCACACUGGAACUGAGACACGGACCAGACUCCUACGGGAGGCAGCAGUAGGGAAUCUUCCGCAAAGGGCGAAAGCCUGACGGAGCAACGCCGCGUGAGUGAUGAAGGUCUUCGGAUCGUAAAACUCUGUUAUUAGGGAAGAACAUAUGUGUAAGUAACUGUGCACAUCUUGACGGUACCUAAUCAGAAAGCCACGGCUAACUACGUG
rnacentral:rRNA from 1 species